AUGGCCCGACCCCGACCCCGACCCCAGCUGCUGCAAGAAACGUUGAUCAUCGAUAGCAAUGGGAAUUCACGGCUGGACGCCAAGAGUGAGCUCUUCUACUGCCCCAUGUGCACAACGACAGCGCCCAUCAUCCACAAAUCCAGCUUCGGCUCAUGCGGCCACGCCUUCUGCAACAGCUGUGUGGCCACGUACAUCGCUGUGAGGCAGCGUGAGAAUGCCGCUCUUCCCGUCGAAUGCCCCGACUGUGAGCACGAAGACGGCCUCCUCCCCAUGCCCAUGGUGCGGCAUGAAAUCGACCCCACCACAGUCACCGACGGCAAUGAAGAUUCACCGGCGGUGGACGGCAACGGUAGGCGCUUCUACUGCGCCAAGUGCAUGCAUGUGGUGCCAUGCGCAUGUAUACGGCGCAGCUUCACCUCGUGCGCCCAUGACUUCUGCUCAAGCUGUGUUUCCCGUCGACUGCGAGGACGGCGCGGUGACGGCAAGCACUUCUACUGCACCAAGUGCAUGCAUGUCGUGCCAUGUGCAUGUAUACGGCCCAGCUUCACCUCGUGCGCCCAUGACUUCUGCUCCAGCUGUGUCGCUCGUCCAACUUCCCAACGUCAAGGACUGCGCCGCCGAGCUGGAAAGAUGCCGCAGCAUCAGCCUGCCGACCUCGUCCCCGUGGACAUGUUGCUGUUAACCGAGGGCAAUGGAGAUUCGCCGGUCUACGGCCACGGCGAGCUCUUCGACUGCGCCAUCUGCAUGGAGACGGUGCCAGGCACCCUCAAGUUCAGCGUCAACUCGUGCGGCCACGCCUUCUGCUCCAGCUGCGUCACCCAGUACGUGGUCUUGAAGCUGGACGACAAGGUCGCCCUCAUCGAAUGCCCGCACCCAGGCUGCGAGGGUGGUACCAUUGAGCCGGAGAGCUGCCACGGCAUCAUCCCCACGGACCUCCACGACAAGUGGGGUUUGCUGCUAUGCGAGCUCGCGGUCGGCGCCAAGAGGAUAUACUGCCCGUACCUAGAGUGCUCGGCGCUCUUGCUCACCGACGGUGAGGCCGGGGCGGCGGCGAUCGCGGAGGCUGAGUGCCCGCACUGCCACAGGCUUUUCUGCGCCCGGUGCGCCGUGCCGUGGCACGACGGCUUCGGGUGCGAGGAGUUCCAGAAGCUCGGGCAGGACGAGCGCGGCCGGGAGGACCUCCUGCUCAGGCGUCUCGUCGGCAUGGAGGGCUGGCAGCGGUGCCCCAAGUGCCAGAUGUUCGUGGAGAAAUCGGAAGGGUGCAAUUACAUCAAAUGCAGGUGUGGAUACAGCUUCUGCUACCGAUGCGCAUCCGAGUUGUCCGCGCAAAACCAUUACUGCAACAAGUGCAUGCGCUAA
rnacentral:rRNA from 1 species